UUCAUAGAAUUUGUUUUAUUCAUCAAUCACCUAUUGCAGCAGAAGUUUGACUACAAGUUUUAGCAUAGUGACUAUACGCAAAGUAUUAAGAAAUUUAAAACCAAACAAUUCAAUGAAACGAAACAAUAUUUGUAAGACAUCACUCAAGAAAUAAAAAAAUACAAAUGAAAUAAAACAAACGUCACCUAAAAGCCAUUACUAGAUAUAGAACACAAACAUUGCAGAUACAAUCACUGAAUUGUUUGCACUGUUUCAACAACACACAGGAAACAAUUUAUUUUUCAAUUUUUUAAUACUUUUUUAUUGCUGUAGAAAUAUAUUUAAAAAAAAACUUCACUGUAAUAUGAAUGCAAAAAGAAAAGUUUAAAUAAAACAACCAUUUCAGACCUUGUGAUGUAUAGGUCAUCUGUUUUUAUGGCCAUCAGUUUAUGAGGAGUCAUGUGGCCAACACAAUGACCAGCCUCCUUACUUCCCCAUUUUUUGUCAGAGACUCAGAGGCAUACUAAAAAUCCCAAAAUUUGACAUCCCAGUCAUCACCAAGAUUCAAACCCUCUGUUCUGCAGCUAAAAUGCUGUACCACUCAGCCAUCGCACCCCUGAUACUUAUGG